UGAGGAAUCUUCCACAAUGGGCGAAAGCCUGAUGGAGCAACGCCGCGUGCAGGAUGAAGGCCUUCGGGUCGUAAACUGCUUUUAUGGGUGAAUAAUAUGAAUGUAACCCUUGAAUAAGCACCGGCUAACUACGUGCCAGCAGCCGCGGUCAUACGUAGGGUGCAAGCAUUAUCCGGAGUGACUGGGCGUAAAGAGUUGCGUAGGUGGUUUGUUUAGUGAAUAGUGAAAUCUGGUGGCUCAACCAUACAGACUAUUAUUCAAACUGACAAACUCGAGAGUAGCAGAGGUAACUGGAAUUUCUAGUGUAGGAGUGAAAUCCGUAGAUAUUAGAAGGAACACCAAUGGCGUAGGCAGGUUACUGGGCUAUUUCUGACACUGAGGCACGAAAGCGUGGGGAGCG
rnacentral:rRNA from 1 species